GACGAAGGAUGCAAGCGUUAUCCGGAUUCAUUGGGUUUAAAGGGUGCGUAGGCGGACCUGUAAGUCAGUGGUGAAAUCUCUUCGCUUAACGAAGAAACUGCCAUUGAUACUGCAAGUCUAGAGUAUAGAUGACGUUGGCGGAAUAUGACAUGUAGUGGUGAAAUACUUAGAUAUGUCAUAGAACACCGAUUGCGAAGGCAGCUAACGAAACUAUAACUGACGCUGAGGCACGAAAGUGCGGGGAUCAAAACAGG
rnacentral:rRNA from 1 species